UUUUCUUUUGCCCACUGUUCAAAUCUCUCUCUCUCUCUCGGCGUUCUGAGCUAGCAAGGGUUCUCCGAUGGCGAUGCUCACUUCCAAUCUCCUCGACCCGGUGAACUCGGGGCACCGGUUCGACGAGGCGGCGCUGCUCCGCUACGCUGCGGCCAACGUGGAGGGCUUCCCGCCGCCGCCGGUGGACCUGACCGUCUUGCAGUUCGGCCACGGCCAAUCCAACCCCACCUUCUGCUUGGAAGCCGUUUCCCGAGUCUUCCCUGGGGCUGUCAAGCGCUACGUCUUAAGAAAGAAACCCCCCGGUGUUCUCCUCGAGUCCGCUCAUGCUGUUGAGAGGGAGUUCCAGGUUCUCAAGGCAUUAGGUGUUCAUACAGAUGUUCCAGUUCCUAAGGUUUUUUGUCUGUGCACUGAUACGAGCAUACUCGGAACAUCUUUCUAUAUAAUGGAGUAUUUGGAGGGACGGAUGUUUCUAGAUAAUAAGCUACCAGGAAUUAUCCCUGAAAGGAGGAAGGCAAUAUAUCAAGCAACUGCGAGAGCUCUAGCUUCUCUACACAAAGUUAAUGUGGAUUCCAUUGGGCUACAAAAAUUUGGGAGGAGGGAAAACUACUGCAAGAGACAGGUAGAAAGGUGGGAGAAGCAAUAUCUCGCUUCAACUGGUGAAGGAAAACCUGAUCAAAAUCCUAAGAUGCUAGAUCUGGCUAGUUGGCUGAAGCAACAUAUUCCACAGGAAGAUUCCUCAGCAGCAUCAGGCACUGGUCUUGUUCAUGGGGACUUUCGGAUUGAUAACCUAGUCUUUCAUCCUGUUGAGGAUCGAGUUAUUGGUAUUCUUGAUUGGGAACUAUCAACUUUGGGGAACCAAAUGUGUGAUGUUGCAUACAGCAGCUUGCCUUAUAUUGUGGACGUGAUGCUAGUUGAUAGAGAAUCAUAUGGAGGAUUUGAAUUUAAUGGUACUCCAGAAGGCAUUCCUUCUUUAGCAGAAUACCUGGCUGUAUACUGCUCUGCUUCAGGAAAACCUUGGCCAGCUGCAGGCUGGAAAUUCUAUGUUGCCUUUUCUUUGUUCCGAGGGGCAUCCAUUUAUGCAGGAGUAUAUCACAGAUGGACUUUGGGUAAUGCUUCUGGUGGUGAGCGUGCUCGAUAUGCUGGAAACGUAGCUAAUGUUUUGAUUGAUUAUGCCUGGGCAUUUAUUAAUAAAAAAUCUGUGCUUCCUCUUCAGCCCCCACAAGGUAUUCUGGAUUCAGAAGUUUCUUGGAAAAAGUUGGAUAAAGAGAAAGAAGAUUCAUACCCUGCAAAGGAACAGGGCAAAUUUGUACCUAGUCAAAAGGUUUUGGAACUUCGUAAUAAAUUACUAAUGUUUAUGGAAAAUCAUAUUUACCCAAUGGAAAGCGAGUUUUAUGAACUUGCACAAUCAACUGCACGCUGGACAAUUCAUCCACAAGAAGAGAAAUUAAAAGAGUUAGCAAAGAGAGAAGGCCUGUGGAACUUGUGGAUCCCUUUGGACAGUGCUGCUAGAGCAAGGAAACUGCUUUUUGAUGGAGAAGAUCAUGCUUCUGCAGGAUACUGGAAUGAUCAUUUGCUAGGUGCAGGGCUUUCGAACCUUGAGUAUGGAUAUUUGUGUGAGAUAAUGGGCCGUUCUGUUUGGGCACCACAAAUUUUUAAUUGUGGUGCGCCGGACACUGGUAAUAUGGAGGUUUUGUUGAGAUAUGGAACUAAGGAACAACUUAAAGAGUGGCUUAUUCCUUUACUAGAAGGAAAAAUUCGGUCUGGAUUUGCAAUGACGGAGCCACAAGUUGCAUCUUCUGAUGCAACCAACAUUGAAUGCUCGAUUACUAGACAGGGAGAUUUUUAUGUCAUUAACGGAAAGAAGUGGUGGACAAGUGGAGCAAUGGACCCUAGAUGCAAAAUUCUUGUAGUUAUGGGAAAAACAGAUUUCACUGCUGCUAAGCAUAAACAACAGUCAAUGAUUUUAGUAGACAUCAAUACUCCUGGUGUGCAGAUAAAUAGACCAUUAUUGGUCUUUGGUUUUGAUGAUGCACCUCAUGGUCAUGCAGAAAUAACUUUCGAAAAUGUGCGUGUGCCAGUAGAAAAUAUCCUGCUUGGAGAAGGACGAGGGUUUGAGAUAGCUCAAGGUAGGCUGGGUCCUGGAAGAUUACAUCAUUGCAUGAGACUGAUAGGAGCAGCAGAACGUGGCAUGCAAAUGAUGGCUGAAAGGGCUCUUAGAAGGAAAGUUUUUGGAAAGUUGAUUGCACAGCAAGGUUCCUUUUUGUCUAGUAUUGCCAAGGGCUGCAGAUUGUCUCUGCAUAUACUUGUAUCAUCUCAUGUCGAAUCGAACUGGAGCAGGCAAGGCUCUUAGUUCUGGAAGCAGCUGAUCAGCUCGACCGGCUUGGGAACAAAAAGGCCCGUGGAACCAUCGCUAUGGCUAAGGUAGCAGCACCAAAUAUGGCUUUGAAGGUGCUCGACAUGGCAAUGCAAGUUCAUGGUGCCGCUGGUUUAUCAUCGGACACUGUUUUGUCUCACUUAUGGGCAACCGCACGGACUUUAAGAAUUGCAGAUGGCCCCGAUGAAGUCCAUCUAGGAACCAUAGGUAAGCUAGAACUGCAAAGAGCCAGGCUAUAAAACUCUAUGUUGUGAAGACCUUGACCUUGAUGGAUGCCUUCGAAGGUACCCAGUUCUCAAAGAUACAGGGUAUUCAAUAAAACCAAAAUAAAACAGUCCAGAGGCAGGAAGCAGUGAGGACUUGAAAGGUUGGGGAGCGCAUAAGGUAACUGGUGAUUCAUUAUACUUAUGAUUGCGAAGGUGGAUGUUUUCUUAAAGCUGGCAUGGAUUUGGAUGUGAACAUAGAUUCAUUGCUUGAAAUGAACUGGAAAUCUCUAUUGGAAAACCAUGUUAUACCAAAUUUUAUAGCUGGAGCAUUUUUUUCGCCUUUAGUUGGUAUUCUUGAAUUACUUCCAGGCCUGAAUUUGUGCUGGCCGUGACAAGAUUUAGAUAGAACUACAAAAAGGCUUAGCCAACUUUGAUGCU